ACCUUUGUGCAGUGGCAGUAUUGUAGCCCAUGAGGUUUAUCCGAGGCAUGAUUAUUGCUAAUUGAAAAAUCUCCCAACAAAAAAGAACCCAGAGCCAGUUGGCUUCCUAGGGGAAUUCUGGGAGACAUUUAAAGAAG
ensembl:snRNA U4 U4 spliceosomal RNA